rnacentral:rRNA from 1 species
GACGAACGCUGGCGGCGUGCUUAACACAUGCAAGUCGAGCGGAGCGGCAAACGGGCGAGUAACGCGUGAGUAGCUGCCCCCCUCUCUGGGAUAACAGUUGGAAACGGCUGCUAAUACCGGAUAGUGGGGGCUGACUCGCGGCCUAUCAGCUUGUUGGUGGGGUAGUGGCCUACCAAGGCGACGACGGUUAGCCGGACUGAGAGGGCGACGGGCCCCAUUGGGCUGAGAGACGUACCAAACCACUACGGGAGGCAGCAGUGGGGAAUAUUGCACAAUGGGGGAACCCCUGAUGCAGCAACGCCGCGUGAGUGAUGACGGCCUUCGGGUUGUAAUCCGCUUUCAGACAUGACGCGGUAGUGGCAGAAGAAGCACCGGCUAACUACGUGCCAGCCGCCGCGGUAAUAC